rfam:Xiphophorus maculatus strain JP 163 A Contig8.193, whole genome shotgun sequence.
GUGGGCUACGGAGACAUGUAUCCCUCCACCAUCGGGGGGAAAUUCGUUGGUUCCCUGUGCGCAAUCGCCGGAGUGCUGACCAUAGCUCUACCUGUUCCCGUCAUCGUGUCGAAU